CGCGCCCGACCGACGCUCGGAGCGUGGCCGCGGCUGCUGCGCUCCGGCCUCCUGGCCCGGCGGCCCGGCUGGGAGGACCGGGACCGAGGCGAUCUCCGGCCGGCGCCUAACACCUGAGGAAACUGGUGGAAAAGUUUGAGAAAGCGAAGUCCGGUCGGCUCGCCGCUUCCGCCCUCCCGGUGACGCGGGAAGGAGCGGGAAGCGUCCCCGCCUGACGAGCGCGCCGGCCGCCAGCCCUGCCCACCGGCCCGGCCGCUCGACUCCGCUGGCGCCCACCUCCUGCCCGCGGCCGUGCCAGCCUUCCGGCCCCGCUCAGCCAGCCCAGCCCAGCUGCCCUCGCCGUCUGCGCCUCCUCGCUGCCCUCGGGACCCGCGUCACCCUUCAGAGCCAAGUUGGACCGGAGGCCGGGCCUUCCCCAGCGGGGCUUUUCCUUUAAGUCAGAGCGAUUCCUGGCAGCUGACUUCCUGGGUCUGGGUUUUAGUCCCUGACCUCUGCUUCCCUCCCUUCCUCCCCUCACCUGGUGCAUGCUUCGCCGGAAAGACCUGUGCGCUUCUCCCUCCUACCCGCCCCCCCCCCCCGCCAGGCCUGCAGGGACGGUGCCCCCCCAAAGCCACUGAGGCCUGAGGCCUGGUGAGAAACUGGGGGUAGGGGGUGCUGUGGCGCAGGGAGCCGCUAGCUAUUGGACCCAAACUGCCAGGCCUCUGGAGGGCUGCGCCAGCCCCACCCCUGUCCGGGUAGAGUGGAGAGAACUUGGCCAGGGAACCCCUCCUCCUCCCCUGAGACAGCUGAUCCGAAGCCCUCUCCUUGGCUGUAAACUCAGAGCAGGGAUUGUGACUCCUUUAACAUCUUGUAGGAAGCACAGUACAGUGUGACUGAUAAAUAAUACAUAAUAAUCAUCUACUGAGGGUUGCAGGAGGACUGUCCGUGACAAGGAAGGGGAACACCCGGGAAAUGGCCCACUGGUGUCAGAGUGACUGCCGGGGGGGGGUGUCCAAAUGAAUGGUGUGGGGAGCCUGGGAGGGGAGGCGGACAGGAGGGGCGGAGCAGAGGGAGGACAGUGCCUGGGCUGCAGAGGGCAGGGUGGAGUUGGAGGGAGGAAAGCUCCCAGCGCUCCUGGACACCUGCAGGUGAACACGGAUGCAGUUGGUGCUCCGUUCGUAAAAUGGUGGUGAGAGGUGACAGAAGGUAGAAAACUGAAAGGCAGGGAUUACUGGGGAUUUAAAGGAGGUACACAGGUAAUACUGGAAGCCAUUCAGUGCAGAGAGAAGAACAGAGCCUCGGGCAAGAGUCUCCUGUAGGAAGCCGUCCUCCAGAUGAUCUGCGAUCUUCGUGGGCUUCCUGCAUGGCAGCUGUGGGCAUUAUGAAAGGGUGGCCAAGGUUUGCAAGCCUGCAGCAGGGAAAGACCUAGCAAUCGGAGGCACUCCAGUGUCUUAAGAUAUUUUGACUCAUCUUCAAAGGAGAGGAGAAAAUACACACUCCAAGGAUCCUUCCCAGGCUGCUCUCUAGGUGAAGAUAGAAGAAUUCCCAGUCGCCCUGCUGGCAUUAUCAGAGAAGACAGGCAUGCAUGGAGGAUCCUCAUUCGGAGCACUUCCUUUGCUGUGGUGAUCCUGUGGUGAUGUUACGAGCCCGAAUGCAAAGGGGAUUUCUGAAGUCAGAGACCAGGUCUUUCUCUUCUGUGGAGUUCUGUCCAGUGCGGAGCUGUGUGGGGUGUGCUCCAUUUCACCUGGAGCUCUGUGGCUCCUGCUGUCUCCAUGCCUGCAGGCGUUGGGUGACGUUUCCUGGACUGUGUUGUGUGAGUGCUCUCCUGCCUCUGCCUACAUGUUGGCUGUCUGGAUCUCUUUGGGUUACUCCUCCUCCUGCUCUGUGUCCCAUGGGAUGCACUCCCUGGAUCUCUCAGAAUGGUCAUCAGACCUGAUGGGUGUUGCUCCCAGGAAUCUCCUCUUCAUGGUCAGAUUCCUCCAGGAAGCACAGGCUCAGCUUCGUGGAGAGCACUCCAAAAGCUAGUGCUCCCUGUCCUGAGUCCACGCUGGGCUCUGGGAUCAGACCUGAUGUGUACACGGUGAGCAGGUGGAUUAUGAAGGAGUAGGCUUGUCGUGCAUGGGAAGUAGCCUGGAAGGCUCCAGGAAAUCCAUUCCCUGCUUGGAGGAUAGACUGUUAUUAGUGGGGUGAAGCAGACAAGGGGUUUGUGCUGGGAAGGCCUUACUGUCAUCUGGAAGGAGCCCUGUCGGGACUGCCUGAGGAGGGCAUGCAUACCAGCUCUGGCCGAGUGGACCUCUCCCCUUGUUCAUAUUUACAGCAGUGACCGCAGGAGCAUGACCACUUACCCUGUGGCUGCUGCAUGCCAAGCACUGCAGCAGGUACUCUUGCUCACAAUAUCUCGUCAGUCACCCCAGUAACCUGUACAGUAAUCAAUAUCAUCAUCUCCCCAAACUGAGUCCCCAAAAGGGUCAGUGAGCUCCUACAGUCACUCAGGAACAGGUGACGGAGCUGGAAUUUGAGCCUUGUCAUCCUGAAGCCUGUUUUUUCACUAUGCUUAACAAACCAAUGCAGUUUCCUUUGUCAUUGGCCCAGUGCCUUCCCCUUUCAGUACACACAGUGGAUGCUGAUUUCUCCUUUAUCAGCAGCUGGUCCUGGACCCAGAACUGGAAAUCAGCCUUAGAAUACAGACAACCCCUGCCAGAGAGAGGCAGGCGUCCCUUUGAUGACUGAAGGCACAGGUCACUUGGAAGAGUGGAAGCCUCAUCAGGCUCCGUCAGGCUUGACAGGGCAUCUGUUUGCUGGAGCACAGUGGAUAUAAGCAGAGCAGCUGCCAGCCUCUGCGUUGGUUGGGGUUUUGUGUUUGCUGCUUUGUUUGUCUAACGUUAUUCUCCACUAAAACCACCCCCAUUUGGCAUCAAAAGCAUUAAUAAACCCUCCACAACCUA